rnacentral:rRNA from 1 species
UAGGGAAUCUUCGGCAAUGGGGGGAACCCUGACCGAGCAACGCCGCGUGAGUGAAGAAGGUUUUCGGAUCGUAAAGCUCUGUUGUUAAGGAAGAACGAGUGUGAGAAUGGAAAGUUCAUACUGUGACGGUACUUAACCAGAAAGGGACGGCUAACUACGUGCCAGCAGCCGCGGUAAUACGUAGGUGGCAAGCGUUAUCCGGAAAUAUUGGGCGUAAAGCGCGCGUAGGCGGUUUUUUAAGUCUGAUGUGAAAGCCCACGGCUCAACCGUGGAGGGUCAUUGGAAACUGGAAAACUUGAGUGCAGAAGAGGAAAGUGGAAUUCCAUGUGUAGCGGUGAAAUGCGCAGAGAUAUGGAGGAACACCAGUGGCGAAGGCGACUUUCUGGUCUGUAACUGACGCUGAGGCUCGAAAGCGUGGGGAGCGAACAGG